UGAAAAGUUGCAACGAACUGAUCGAUCUCAAGCACCAGACCCUUCCAAUUUGGAAGUGAAAGAUUGGGGAAAAAAUGCCCCGGGUGAGAAGGGAUGAGGUAAAAGGAACACAGUAUUUUGGGAGAAAAACUUUGUCUUAGUGCUUAUGAAAGGUGUUAUUAAGCUCCCGCGCCGGCUCUGGGGACGCCGCGGCGUCCGGGCGCUGACGCGACAGCUUUACAGAGUCAUACUGAUCAGAUUUGAUAGAGGCAGACCGCCUGAAAAUUUAUUCAGGAGAAUCAAACAAAAGGACAUCUCAGUGCCCGUGCACAGCCUGAUAGAGUUAAUGUAAUUGGGUUGUGAGUAAAAAUACUCAGGGCUGUGUUUCACUUCCAUACCAUUGGCAAAUGUCAGUCGUUCUGCUCAGAUAAUAUCUCUCAGUAUCUUACAGAAUUGGGUUUCAACACGUUGGUGGACUAGUCCAGGAAUUGAGACAAUCCAUCGCCCAUAUCAGCUCCACUCGAGUGGAUAGUCACCGUGAACACCAUCUGGUUUUUUCCCUAUUUGUCUAUUGUUUGUCUCUGGUGCACCAGGAUGUCCCCAUGUCUGUCAGUGUAUGUCUGUGGUUUUUGUUUCUCGUUGUCUAAAAGUUUUAUGUUUCAUGUUCAAAAGAAAAAAUGGUAAAAACUUUACCUGCUGGUCGUGCACACCUUGACUUGGUUUUAACUCGUUUCAAAAAGGAACAAAUGAAUAAAAAACAGUUUCAAUCAGGUUUUUAGAGCCCUGUGCCUGGAGCCAGGUGUCUAGAUUAGCUGGAGAAGCUGACCA
rnacentral:lncRNA from 1 species